rnacentral:rRNA from 1 species
CACGAACCGUACGAACGUUAUUCGGAAUUACUGGGCUUAAAGGGUUUGUAGGCGGCCUUGUAAGUCAGGUGUGAAAGCCCUCGGCUCAACCGAGGAACAGCGCUUGAUACUGCAAGGCUUGAGGGAGACAGAGGUAAGCGGAACUGAUGGUGGAGCGGUGAAAUGCGUUGAUAUCAUCAGGAACACCGGUGGCGAAAGCGGCUUAACUGGGUCUCUUCUGGACGCUGAGGAACGAAAGCUAGGGUAGCGAACGGG